AGGCUGCGGCUUCAUUAUCCUGAUUGAUUCCUCCUGCUCCCCGACACCGUGGGGGCCCCGGUCAGGGAAGGGGGGCCGAGGCGGCAUCUGCGGACCCCUUCCCCGGCCCUCGCCCCCAGCCGCUCUUCGGGCUGCCGGCCCCUCGGUGCCCCGCUGCGGCCCGCUGGACAGGUCAAGGAGGAAGGGCAGGGGCAGCCUUUGCCCCCCUUCGUGGGCGGGGAGGGCCCAAAGGAGGAGCGGAGCUGUGACGGGCCAGGUUCAGUGCUACCGCCCAAUGCGCCCGCCCUGGGCCAUGAAAGCCGCGGGUCUUGGGACCUGCCCUUGGCAAAAAUUUUGCACCCUAACCCGAAAGAGUCUGGAGGGUUUGGAGUGGGGAGGGAGCACAGUGAUGGACUGAGAACUUCAGAAGAAGCCUUGGCAAAAUGGGAAAGGUGACAUCUUCCAGGAGCACUGAUCACGUGGGCCAAGCCCGGGUGACUGCAGGCCUCUCUAGGCGCCUUAAAUGUUCUCAGGGGGAAGCAGGGACAGGGUCUGCCCAAACAACACUGGACAGGCAAGGAUCUGAGCUCAAACGAAGCCCACCGGCCUCUAUGAGUUAGAGAACCUGUGCCCAAAUCUAGCAGAGGGUGGUCUGGCCACAAAAUGGUGGCUCCCUACUCCAGGUGCGGUGAGGCCUCAGUGGAAAGAGCAUCCGGGAGCCAGGCAGGAGGGCCUUUCUAGUCCUGCCACUUGGUUUGUUACCUGGGCAAGUAACUUUACCUUUUUUAGCCUUGGUUUAUUAAUCUGUAAAAUGGGGUUAAGACCUCCCUGACAGUUAUCAAUGGUUAAUGGGACUCUCUAGCAAGGAAGAGAAAGGGAGAUGAGGGGCUGGCUUCCAUCCCUGCUGCUGUGUUGGAUGAAUCCGUCCCUUCUCCUUGAAGGAGGUAAGUUUCCUCCAUAUACUUAAAUCCCUUCUUAACUGGAAGGUGACGUGGAAACUUCCAAUCAGAUCUGCUUCCUUGUCAGGGUAGAAGGGCAAAACUGCUCUCCACCUCACUGGCCUGGCAUAGAUUUAAUUUCUAAAUUCACAUCAGACUCUCCACCACUCCCAUCCCUCUUUGGGUGGGGCCUCUCUUCCUACAAGACCUGACAGUCUCCCUCUAGUGCCUCAGAGCUGUCCUGUCCAAGGGCCAGACCUGGGAAAUUUCUUCUGUAGCCUUGCCCUCUUUGGCUAACUCCAAUCUUUAGCUCUCCACAGCCCUGGGGAAGAGGGAGCUGGUGGAGAAUUUGAAGCCAGUUUUUUCCAGAGCUGUGGCAAUCGUAUUUGUGAACAUGAUCUGGGCCACUCUGGCAAUUCAGUGUCUAUCUCUGGGUCUGUUUCCUUAUCUGUAAGUUCAUGAAUUUAUUCUUCCAACCCACAUUUCCUGGGUGACCACACUGGGGCAGCAUGGUGCACCCAGAAGGUGGAAGUGUGGGAAUAACACAGAGUGAGUGGGAAGAACUCCACUCUGAAGCGGCUGAUCUUCUGAGGGGAAAACAGACAGAUACACAUAGCAGUCUCUCCAGUAUAAGGGUGUUUACUUCAGGAGGACCUCCAAAAUUCUAGAACUUUCCACAGUGUCAUGAUACUUUCCCACUUCUUCCUGAACAAAGCAGACUUUUGCCUUGGACUCUUUGCUAGAGGCUGAUUGCUUUCCUAUGGGAAAAGACAGAUCCUAAAAUUUGAGUCUGGAGCUUUUGUUCAUUCUGUUUUGUUGGAAUUAUCUAUUUUUGUAACAGUCCUGCAUUACUUUUAUAUUUAAGAUAAAAACACAAAAACAUUUCCAGUUUGGGGAAAAAGAUGUCAGGGAGGAUUGUUUUCUUUUUUCUCUGGUGACCAGAAGCAGGUCAGCACAUGUAUCUAGACAUGCCAGGCUGCCUGGAGCCUUUGAUCAAUGUGGCCCUGGGAGAGGCUGCCUCAGUCUACUGGCCUGGCUGCCCACCCACCCCUGGCUGGACUGUUCCAUCCUCUGUGUCUGUAGUCCUGGGCUCCACUUCCUAUUAAUACAAACCACGUGGGACCCUUGCUGUGGCGUCUCUAGGCAGAAAAGGGAGCCACAGCCGCCUAGUGGCUGCCAGGGAGGCUGGCAGGAAGGGGCAUCUCCACCAGGCGUCUCCUGGGAAACAGUAAGCUCCCCAGAGAAGGGACAUUUGGAAAUAAAAUUCCUGCCGCUAUGUGUUUGUAUGUGUGUUGGGGCGGGAGAGGGAGUUAAGAAACCUCACCACCCCCCUCUGCUUUUCUCUCUUCAGGGAAAGCCUCUUUCAGCAGCUCUCCGGACUCCCUCCCAAAACUCCAGCCCAUUCCCCAGAAACCACGUAGGCUCUGCUGGGAAUGGACAAGAGGCCUAGAAAAUGUCCCUUCAGAUUCAUGAUGUGGGUACAGAAGAGCACUGGACUGAGAGCCAGGGCCUCACGUCCUCAGCUGCCCUGCCUCACCCUGUGGCCCUGGAAGGCCUUCCUGUUAUCUAACUCCCAUUCUCCUAAUGGACUCACAAACAAUCCCAGUUGCCUGUUCCAAGGAAGAGGUCCUGCCCAUGCACCAUGCCUUGAGGAAAUAUCUUGUCACUUUCCUCAUGGGAACCUCUCCCAGCAUCAAUGCCACAGCCUGCCUUCUGGGACCUACAAAGACUUAUUGGGACAGAUCCAACUCACUUAGAAAUGAAGCCCAGAGAAGAAAUAAGUGGGAAGACAUGUGGAUAAAGACUUCAGAUUUGGAAUAGAGACACUCUAAGGACUUCCAUGGCCCUGAAGGAUGGAGGUCUGGAUGCUUCACCCCAAGGGGGUCCCCUCUUCCCACCUGAUUCUAUUGCUUCCCACCUCAUCCUUCAGCUUUUUUGUGUGUCUGUGUCUAACUUCCAUUCUUCCUGUUGCACUUGGGAGUGCAUGCUUCUUUCAUUUGGAGGGAGAAUUCUAUCUCAGCUCCCUUUAACUGACUAAGUUCCUGAAAUUCUACCACUAAAUUCAUACUGUACUUGUGUUCAUUGAGAAUCCACUAUGGUUAGACACUG